AUUGAACGCUGGCGGCAGGCCUAACACAUGCAAGUCGAGCGGAUGACGGGAGCUUGCUCCUUGAUUCAGCGGCGGACGGGUGAGUAAUGCCUAGGAAUCUGCCUGGUAGUGGGGGACAACGUUUCGAAAGGAACGCUAAUACCGCAUACGUCCUACGGGAGAAAGCAGGGGACCUUCGGGCCUUGCGCUAUCAGAUGAGCCUAGGUCGGAUUAGCUAGUUGGUGGGGUAAUGGCUCACCAAGGCGACGAUCCGUAACUGGUCUGAGAGGAUGGUCAGCCACCCUGGAACUGAGGCACGGUCCAGACUCCUACGGGAGGCAGCAGUGGGGAAUAUUGGACAAUGGGCGAAAGCCUGAUCCAGCCAUGCCGCGUGUGUGAAGAAGGUCGUCGGAUUGUAAAGCACUUUAAGUUGGGAGGAAGGGCAGUAAGUUAAUACCUUGCUGUUUUGACGUUACCGACAGAAUAAGCACCGGCUAACUCUGUGCCAGCAGCCGCCGCAGUAA
rnacentral:rRNA from 1 species